GUGGGGUUUCCCCAUGUGAGAGUAGGGCAUCGC
rnacentral:rRNA from 1 species